GUAGGCAGGAAAAUGUGUGUACAUAACCAUAUGUGGGAAAAAACUGUAAACAGGGGCUGUUCAUUUUCAUGUGUUUUAAUAAAAGCCAUGUGCCCAGUGAGAAGCUCCGAAGUCGUCACGGUGUGUGUUGUGAUCACAUGACAGAGAGCUUCCCUGGUCCAGCUUACGGUGAAUAAACGAACACGCAGAACACCCCUUGGGGGGGUGCUUCAACAAUUGGUGACCUCCGACGUGAUUCACAGCUGAAUCAGGGAAUUUGGAAAAAGAGAGAGUGUGACAGACGGAAACCUCUGAGACCGGGGCGCCGAUAAUUAAUCAUCAAAGAGUUCUCAAAACAGGUUCCAGAGAAAUCAACCGAGGGACCUCAGCCAACCACGUCCGAAGCUGAGUGGAUCCUGCUGAAGGUGAUCAAAAGGAAGUGGUCAGAGCCCAGGUGGACGGGUCCAUUCCAGGUCACAGAGAGAACCUCACAUGCGGUGAGGGUCAAGGGCAAAGGAGACACGUGGUAUCUUUGGAGCCA